rnacentral:tRNA from 1 species
GUCAGUGUGGCGUAGUGGUUUGAGUGUUGGAUUGUGACCUUGUAGACCUGGGUUCAAUUCCCAGCUCUUCUA